rnacentral:rRNA from 1 species
AGUGAACGCUGGCGGUAGGCCUAACACAUGCAAGUCGAACGGCAGCACAGAAAGAGCUUGCUCUUACGGGUGGCGAGUGGCGGACGGGUGAGGAAUACAUCGGAAUCUACUUUUUCGUGGGGGAUAACGUAGGGAAACUUACGCUAAUACCGCAUACGACCUACGGGUGAAAGCAGGGGAUCUUCGGACCUUGCGCGAUUGAAUGAGCCGAUGUCGGAUUAGCUAGUUGGCUGGGUAAAGGCCCACCAAGGCGACGAUCCGUAGCUGGUCUGAGAGGAUGAUCAGCCACACUGGAACUGAGACACGGUCCAGACUCCUACGGGAGGCAGCAGUGGGGAAUAUUGGACAAUGGGCGCAAGCCUGAUCCAGCCAUACCGCGUGGGUGAAGAAGGCCUUCGGGUUGUAAAGCCCUUUUGUUGGGAAAGAAAAGCAGCAGGUUAAUACCCCGCUGUUCUGACGGUACCCAAAGAAUAAGCACCGGCUAACUUCGUG